CCUACGGGCGGCAGCAGUGGGGAAUAUUGCACAAUGGGGGAAACCCUGAUGCAGCAACGCCGCGUGAGUGAAGAAGUAUUUCGGUAUGUAAAGCUCUAUCAGCAGGGAAGAAGAAAGACGGUACCUGACGAAGAAGCCCCGGCUAACUACUUGCCGGCAGCCGCGGUAAUACGUAGGGGGCAAGCUUUAUCCGGAUUUACGGGGUGUAAAGGGAGCGUAGACGGCUGUGCAAGUCUGAAGUGAAAGCCCGUGGCUCAACCGCGGAACUGCGUUGGAAACUGUCUAGCUUGACUACUGGCGAGGCCGGCGGACUUCCUCGUGUAGCUGUGACAUGCGUAGAUAUUAGGCGGAACACCAGUGGCGCAGGCGGCCUGCUGGACAGAAACUGACGUUGAGGCUCGAAAGCGUGGGGAGCAAACAGGAUUAGAUACCCGAGUAGUC
rnacentral:rRNA from 1 species